UACGGAGGGUGCAAGCGUUAGUCGGAAUAACUGGGCGUAAAGGGUGCGUAGGCGGAGAUACAAGUCAUAUGUGAAAUUCCAGGGCUUAACCCUGGAGCGGCAUCUGAAACUGUAUUUCUUGAGGGAUGGCGGAGAAAACGGAAUUCCACGUGUAGCGGUGAAAUGCGUAGAUAUGUGGAAGAACACCUGUGGCGAAAGCGGUUUUCUAGCCUAAACCUGACGCUGAGGCACGAAAGCAAGGGGAUCAAACAGG
rnacentral:rRNA from 1 species